GUCUGGCGGCGAGUGGCGAACGGGUGAGUAAUGUAUCGGAACGUGCCCAGUAGCGGGGGAUAACUACUCGAAAGAGUAGCUAAUACCGCAUACGCCCUACGGGGGAAAGGGGGGGAUCGCAAGACCUCUCACUAUUGGAGCGGCCGAUAUCGGAUUAGCUAGUUGGUGAGGUAAAGGCUCACCAAGGCGACGAUCCGUAGCUGGUUUGAGAGGACGACCAGCCACACUGGGACUGAGACACGGCCCAGACUCCUACGGGAGGCAGCAGUGGGGAAUUUUGGACAAUGGGGGCAACCCUGAUCCAGCCAUCCCGCGUGUGCGAUGAAGGCCUUCGGGUUGUAAAGCACUUUUGGCAGGAAAGAAAUCGCAUGGAUUAAUACUCUGUGUGGAUGACGGUACCUGCAGAAUAAGCACCGGCUAACUACGUGCCAGCAGCCGCGGUAAUACGUAGGGUGCAAGCGUUAAUCGGAAUUACUGGGCGUAAAGCGCGCGCAGGCGGUUCGGAAAGAAAGAUGUGAAAUCCCAGGGCUUAGCCUUGGAACUGCAUUUUUAACUCCCGAGCUAGAGUGCGUCAGAGGGGGGUGGAAUUCCGCGUGUAGCAGUGAAAUGCGUAGAUAUGCGGAGGAACACCGAUGGCGAAGGCAGCCCCCUGGGAUGACACUGACGCUCAUGCACGAAAGCGUGGGGAGCAAACAGGAUU
rnacentral:rRNA from 1 species